ACCCCACUAUCAACCCAACCCUCCCUAGCCUACAGUCUAUAUACCGCCGUCGCCAGCCUACCUUAUGAGAGAAACAAAGUAAGCUAAAUAGUCAUACACUAACACGACAGGUCGAGGUGUAACUUAUGAGAGGGCCUAAGAUGGGCUACAUUUUCUAACUCAGAAAACACGAAUAAACAAUGAAAUAAGGAAACUGAAGGCGGAUUUAGCAGUAUACUAAGAACAAAAUACCUAGUCGAAAUCAACGCAAUGAGGUGCGCACACACCGCCCGUCAUCCCUGUCAACCAACCAAAAACAUUCAUAAUUAAAUACCAACCUAAAACAGGGCAAGUCGUAACAAGGUAAGCGUACUGGAAAGUGCGCUUAGAAACAAAAAGUAGCUUACAAAAAGCAUUCGACCUACAAUCGAACGACAUUAUAUUAAUCUUUUUGAGCUAAAACUCAGACUUACACGAACAUACAAAUUUUAGCCAAACAAAACAUUUGACCUACCCAGUAGAUGCGAUCGAACAGUAAAUAAACCAUAUAGUACCGCAAGGGAAACAAUUUAAGCAAUAAACAGCAAAGACUAACCCUUGUACCU
rnacentral:rRNA from 1 species